rnacentral:tRNA from 6 species
GGGAAUGAGAAUGAGAAUGGUCGGGAUAGCUCAGC